ensembl:snRNA U6 U6 spliceosomal RNA
GUGCUCGCUCCGGCAGCACGUGUACUAAAAUUGGAACAAUAUAGAGAUGAUUUAGCAUGGCCCCUGCUCAGGGAUGACAUGCAAAUUUGUGAAGCACUCCGUAUUUUU